rnacentral:rRNA from 1 species
UACGUAGGGUGCGAGCGUUAAUCGGAAUUACUGGGCGUAAAGCGUGCGCAGGCGGGCUUUUAAGCCAGACGUGAAAUCCCCGGGCUUAACCUGGGAAUGGCGUUUGGGACUGGGAGUCUGGAGUGCGGCAGAGGAGACUGGAACUCCUGGUGUAGCAGUGAAAUGCGUAGAUAUCAGGAGGAACACCGAUGGCGAAGGCAGGUCUCUGGGCUGACACUGACGCUCAUGCACGAAAGCGUGGGGAGCAAACAGG